rnacentral:rRNA from 1 species
UACGUAGGGGGCAAGCGUUGUCCGGAUUUAUUGGGCGUAAAGAGCGUGUAGGCGGCCAAGCAGGUCCGCUGUGAAAACUCGAGGCUCAACCUCGAGAGGUCGGUGGAAACCGUUUGGCUAGAGUCCGGAAGAGGAGAGUGGAAUUCCCGGUGUAGCGGUGAAAUGCGCAGAUAUCAGGAGGAACACCAAUGGCGAAGGCAGCACUCUGGGACGUGACUGACGCUGAGACGCGAAAGCUAGGGGAGCAAACGGG